AUAAACAUCCUUAAACGAUAAGUUGAUCCACCCUAUUCCCAACAAAAUGCCAGCUAGAAAUACCCCCCAACCUUACUCCUCCAAUUAUGCCCGCUCGACCAAAACGUCACCGUGACAGACGUCGCUUUGGGUGGAAUAAGCACGUGACGACGGCGACGACGACGAGGACGAUGACGAGGAGGAGGCUGCUGGGUAUAUAAGCGCCGUCGUGCGACGUUGGCGCUCUCUUUUCGGUAAUCAACCCUAAACGUACCGUUCGCGUGUUCCCCAGUGAAACCAGUAUCUGCAUCUGAAGUGACCUCUAAGUUUGAGGCGGCCUGUGCUCAUGGUUUGACACCUCGACACCGGUCUCGAUCCCUCCUGCACUGCGGACGGGUACUUCCGGCGUGACCAGGCGGUUCACGUCUCCAUCUUCCGCUACCACGCCCGGAAACAGUCGACAACUGACGCCGCUUCCAAGCCUCCCCGAGUGAUCAUCUGCAUCGUUCACCGGUACUUCCGGUUGUCUGCUAUCGCCCGGCGUGGCCAUUGACUUUGCCCCGAGUGCAAGCCGGCAGCGGAAGACACAUUCGGCCUGAGGAUCGCCGUCAUCUUUACUUCGUGCUCCUGAGGCUCCGGAGGAGCCAUCAUCUACUUCUGAGGCGGCCACCAUCAUCGUCGUCACCGUGCUACUAUCCAAGUAAGUCCGUAGGAGAACAUCGUCCAGUUCUCCGAGCCAGAGGACGCAGCUGAUCGGGUCGCCAGCCGGUGGACAGUCCGUAGGGCUGCAUCGUGCUCGAUCAACGUGGUGAGUCCGUAGGGGCCAAGCUACCUCCCCGAGCAAGUGGACGCCAUCGACAGCUGUUCCGACACGUGGGCUGGGACGUCACCGGACGUCGCCCUCCGAGGAUCAUCCCGUGUCCAAAGCCCUCACCCGGUCGGGUUGGAGGCCAAGCGGGCCCGCUUGGCGCCGUUACGGCGACGUGGAGGACGGGUGUGUAAAUUGGGUGAGAUCCCCUCCGUUAAAACCCUAUUCCCUACCCCCACAUAAUAACAAAACUUUGUAAAAAUGUAUGAAUAUAAAUUUAUUUUCUUACCAUCUAA